rnacentral:rRNA from 1 species
CACGUAGGAGGCGAGCGUUGUCCGGAAUCAUUGGGCGUAAAGAGCGCGCAGGCGGCUUGGCAAGUCGGGCGUGAAAUCCCGGGGCUCAACCCCGUGACUGCAUCCGAUACUGUCAGGCUAGAGGUAGGUAGGGGAGAUCGGAAUUCCUGGUGUAGCGGUGAAAUGCGCAGAUAUCAGGAGGAACACCGGUGGCGAAGGCGGAUCUCUGGGCCUUACCUGACGCUCAGGCGCGAAAGCUAGGGGAGCGAACAGG